UGUCUCAGUUCGGAUUGGAGUCUGNAACCCGACUCCAUGAAGCUGGAUUCGCUAGUAAUCGCGCAUCAGCCACGGCGCGGUGAAUACGUUCCCGGGCCUUGUACACACCGCCCGUCAAGCCAUGGAAGCCGGGGGUGCCUGAAGUGCGCUGCCGCAAGGAGCGCCCUAGGGUAAAACCGGUGACUGGGGCUAAGUCGUAACAAGGUAUC
rnacentral:rRNA from 1 species